rnacentral:tRNA from 1 species
GCCUGGGUGGCUCAGUAGGUUGAGCGUCUGCCUUCCGCUCAGGUCAUGAUCUCAGGGUCCUGGGAUUGAGCCCCACUUCAGGCU